GUAAUCAACAAUCAUACAGCACAGGCUUAUGUGUUCUCUUGGCCACAGAGACUCAAACUCUGAAGGAUUUCUCAUAUUACCUGCUCAAAACUAAAGACUUUUAGAGCUUAUCUAUCAGAGACUCAAACUCUGAAGGACUUCUCACAUCUCAUCAUCAGUACUCAAGAUUAAGAGUUUAUCUUUCAGGUCAGCAGCCACCAGGGCAAGUAUCAGGACUUGACAGAGAAUGAAGAUACAACCCUAUAAUUUCAUGGCAUCUUCAAUCCCUAGCAGUGACUGCUUGGACUCAGAACAAUCCCCUUUGAAGCUCAAUUCAAAGGAGAGCAGGGGGUGAUCUCUCUGCUUCCCACACCUUCCACAAAGAGAAUAAAACCUCCUUCAAAGGUUAUACCUGUCACUGUAAGAGGUCAAUAUCCUAUGAACGAUGUGUUUUAGGCUGUUCAGCUAACAAGCUUCCUACUGUCAAAGAACCAAAGGAAACACAAACUCUAGGAAGAUUCACUGACAACCCCAAACAGGUAUGCAAACCAAGCAUCAAUCUAUGAGGAUCAGGAUACAGACUCAGACAGUGAAGACAUAGGAGGUGAUCAUAUCACUGGCAAAGACCAGCAGAUCAUUAAGAAUCUAAACUACAGAUGACAACAGAUUGAUUCCAUGGCUGGCUGGUUAGAAAUUCAGCUUGUCCUUCCUGAACCUACUAAGUAACAUGAAAAAGAAGAUGGUAACAAUCAGAAGAAUAAGGAAGAAACCAAGAGCAGUGAUGAACAGUAUCAGGAAAAUCAUAAGCAAAUUAAGAAAUAUGAGAAACAAGAUGAUGGCAUGCUAACUGAAUCAACAAAACAAGAUGGAAAAAAGGACUGUGAAAAGCAGAAUAACCACAAAGAAACAGGGUAAUGAAGAAGACUAUCAGGAGCUUUAUGAACAAAUUCCAGUGUAAAAAAGACAUGACAGCAGCACACUAGCUGAAUCUAACAAGGAACAUGAAAAACAACGCAAUGAAAACCAGAAGAGCAAGGAAGAAAUUGAGAACAGUAAGGAAGAACAUCAGGAACAUUAUGAAGAAAUUUAGAAAUAUGAUAAAUAUGAUGACAGCAUGGUAACAAAAUCUACUGAGGAAGAUGAAAAGGAGCACAGUGACAACCAGAUGAGCAAGGAUGGUGAAGUUGCUGAGAUGGUAAGUGAAAAGACCAACAGUCAAGAGACCAGCAUCAAAGAGUCCUCCUCAGUCUCCUUGAGGCAGUCAGAGGAGGAGGACGACACUGGCCUGACACACAGACCACAACCAGUGUGAACUUCAGGCAGGCCUUCUGCUGGCUCUGGAAAAGAGUUCUUGCUUAUUUUGGGAGGAGAGUGAUGGUCAGCAGCCCAUCAGCAACCCCAACUAAGAAAAGAGGUCUUCACACCUCCAAGAGAAUCCACCCUGAAGAAACCCUCACUGAAUUAGCAUCAGCCAAAUCCCCAGAGUUUUAAACAGUUUGAUGGCCUCAGUUCUAUAAUUCCUAUAGGUUUGUUUUUCUCAAUAAAAUAAAUGUUCUUGUUCACAG
ensembl:lncRNA